AAAAUAAUUGCGAUUUUUUGUAUGCAACAUUGCUGAAUUUCUUCGAUUUGAUGAAGCAAUUCUAUAUUUAAUAACGUUACGAAUUAACAAGAAAAAUGAAUGGUCAUGUCCUAAAUUGCAUACGAAACGUGACUCCUAACUAACCAUUGGCGAUAUGCAAGGAGCUCAUAUCCCCGAACGGAAUCCAGGUUUUGAUAUUGUGAGGAUGAAGGAAUGCGGUUGUUUGCUCGACUAGACUUUUUCAAAAAAUAAGUGAUUUACAUAAAGUGGAGAUGCAACAUUUCGAUUUUCUGCAGCUUGGCUGAAUAUCAACACUUUUCCCU